rnacentral:rRNA from 1 species
CCUACGGGAGGCUGCAGUGGGGAAUAUUGGACAAUGGGCGAAAGCCUGAUCCAGCCAUGCCGCGUGUGUGAAGAAGGCCUUCGGGUUGUAAAGCACUUUCAGUGGGGAAGAAAGCCUUGGGGCUAAUACCCUCGAGGAAGGACAUCACCCACAGAAGAAGCACCGGCUAACUCCGUGCCAGCAGCCGCGGUAAUACGGAGGGUGCGAGCGUUAAUCGGAAUUACUGGGCGUAAAGCGCGCGUAGGCGGUCUGAUAAGCCGGUUGUGAAAGCCCCGGGCUCAACCGGGGAACGGCAUCCGGAACUGUCAGGCUUGAGUGGAGGAGAGGACGGUAGAACUCCCGGUGUAGCGGUGAAAUGCGUAGAGAUCGGGAGGAAUACCAGUGGCGAAGGCGGCCUUCUGGACUGUCACUGACGCUGAGGUGCGAAAGCGUGGGUAGCAAACAGGAUUAGAUACCCGGGUAGUC